AACGAACGCUGGCGGCGUGGCUAAAACAUGCAAGUCGAGCGCGAAAGUUCCCUUCGGGGAACCGGUAGAGCGGCGAAAGGGCGAGGAAUACAUGGGUAACGUACCUUUGGCAUGGGGAUAGCCCCGAGAAAUCGGGGGUAAUACCCAAGACACCGCGAUAUCAUAAGGUAUUGCGGUCAAAGGGUGGGGAUCCCUUCGGGGACCUACCGGCCGAUGAGCGGCCCAUGUCCUAUCAGCUUGUUGGUGGGGUAACGGCUCACCAAGGCUUCGACGGGUACCGGGAUUGAGAGGUUGAUCCGGCGCAUUGGGACUGAGACACUGCCCAGACUCCUACGGGAGGCUGCAGUAACGAAUAUUGGACAAUGGGCGAAAGCCUGAUCCAGCGACGCCGCGUGUGGGAAUAAGCUCUUCGGGGUGUAAACCACUGUCAGGGGCUACCAAGCAAACGGGCCUAAUACGUCCGGGCGUUGAGGAACCCCAAAGGAAGCCACGGCUAACUUCGUGCCAGCAGCCGCGGUAAUACGAAGGUGGCGAGCGUUGUUCGGAAUCACUGGGCUUAAAGGGCACGUAGGCGGGUCAUCAAGCGUCUUGUGAAAGCCCUCGGCUCAACCGAGGAAUUGCGUGGCGAACUGAUGGCCUUGAGGCAGGUAGGGGCGAGCGGAACUCUCGGUGGAGCGGUGGAAUGCGUGGAUAUCGAGAGGAACGCCGGAGGCGAAGGCGACUCGCUGGGCCUGACCUGACGCUGAGGUGCGAAAGCCAGGGGAGCGAACGGGAUUAGAUACCCCGGUAGUCCUGGCCCUAAACGAUGUCCACUAGGUCGGAGGCCUUCUGACAGGAUUCCGGCUGAAAUGAAAACGAUAAGUGGACCGCCUGGGGAGACGGUCGCAAGGCU
rnacentral:rRNA from 1 species